GCUGGCGGCGCGCUUAAUACAUGCAAGUCGAGCGAGAAAGUAUCCUUCGGGAUGCGAGUAGAGCGGCGAACGGGUGAGUAACACGUAAGCAACCUGCCCCUAAAUCUGGGAUAACCCUGCCAACGCGGGGCUAAUACCGGGUGUGGUCGGUCGAUCGCAUGAUCGACCGAUUAUAGAUGGCUUCGGCUGUCGUUUAGGGAUGGGCUUGCGGCCCAUUAGCUUGUUGGUAGGGUAACGGCCUACCAAGGCCGCGAUGGGUAGCCGACCUGAGAGGGUGAUCGGCCACAUUGGGACUGAGAUACGGCCCAGACUCCUACGGGAGGCAGCAGUAGGGAAUUUUGCGCAAUGGACGAAAGUCUGACGCAGCGACGCCGCGUGAGGGAUGACGGCCUUCGGGUUGUAAACCUCUGUUGAGUGGGACGAAAACUUUACAGGUGAAUAGCCUGUAGACUUGACGGUACCACUCGAGGAAGCUCCGGCUAACUACGUGCCAGCAGCCGCGGUAAUACGUAGGGAGCAAGCGUUGUUCGGAAUCACUGUGCGUAAAGGGAGUGUAGGCGGAAAAGUAAGUUAGGAGUGAAAUAUACAGGCUUAACCUGUGGCCCGCUCUUAAUACUGCUUUUCUUGAGUAUGGGAGAGGAAGGCGGAAUUCCUGGUGUAGCGGUGGAAUGCGUAGAUAUCAGGAAGAACACCGGUAGCGAAGGCGGCCUUCUGGCCCAAUACUGACGCUGAGGCUCGAAAGCUAGGGGAGCAAACAGGAUUAGAUACCCUGGUAGUCCUAGCCGUAAACGAUGGACACUAGUUGUCGGGAGAGUCAAUCCUUCCGGUGACGAAGCUAACGCAUUAAGUGUCCCGCCUGGGGAGUACGCUCGCAAGGGUGAAACUCAAAGGAAUUGACGGGGGCCCGCACAAGCGGUGGAGCAUGUGCUUUAAUUCGAUGCAACGCGAAGAACCUUACCUGGGUUUGACAUGGGGGUGAAAGUUUCCAGAGAUGGAUUCCUUUCCUUCGGGAACACCCCACACAGGUGCUGCAUGGUUGUCGUCAGCUCGUGUCGUGAGAUGUUGGGUUAAGUCCCGCAACGAGCGCAACCCCUGCCCUUAGUUGCCAGCGGGUCAUGCCGGGAACUCUAGGGGGACUGCCUGGACUAACCAGGAGGAAGGUGGGGAUGACGUCAAAUCCUCAUGGCCCUUACGCCCAGGGCUAGACACGUGCUACAAUGGCCGGUACAGUGGGCAGCCAACUCGCGAGAGUCAGCUAAUCCCCAAAACCGGCCUCAGUUCGGAUUGGAGUCUGCAACUCGACUCCAUGAAGGUGGAAUCGCUAGUAAUCACGGAUCAGCAUGCCGUGGUGAAUACGUUCCCGGGCCUUGUACACACCGCCCGUCAAGCCAUGAAAGACGGUAGUGCCCGAAGUCGUUCCUCUAACCUCCGGGAAGAGUGCGCCGAAGGUAAGACCGUUGAUUGGGGCUAAGU
rnacentral:rRNA from 1 species